AGCCUUAGGAAAAAAGAUUUAAGGUUAGACCUGCCCAAUGUAUUUUGAUUAAUGGCCGCGGUACUUUGACCGUGCUAAGGUAGCGCAAUCAAUUGGCUUUUAAUUGGAGCCAGGUAUGAAUGGAGUCACGUGGUUUAGCUGUCUCUUAUCUAAUAUAUUGAAGUUACUAUUUAAGUGAAAAAGCUUAAGUUUUAAAGGGGGACGAGAAGACCCUUAGAGUUUCUCUUAUAUUGAAUUUUAUACUCAUAAUAGUUUGGUUGGGGCAAUGUUGGAUCAUUUACUAAACAUCCAAAAAUAUAUUAACCGAUUUUAAUAAAUUUGAAUAAACUACCUUAGGGAUAACAGCAUAAUUUUAUAAGUAAGUUUGUGACCUCGAUGUUGGACUAGGGAACUAAUAGGCUAGCCGCUUUUUAGGUGAGUUCUGUUCGAACUAUUAUUCCU
rnacentral:rRNA from 1 species